AUGGACGCUGGCGGCGUGCUUCACACAUGCAAGUCGAACGAAGCACUUUAUUUGAUUUCCUUCGGGACUGAUUAUUUUGUGACUGAGUGGCGGACGGGUGAGUAACGCGUGGGUAACCUGCCUUGUACAGGGGGAUAACAGUUGGAAACGGCUGCUAAUACCGCAUAAGCGCACAGCAUCGCAUGAUGCAGUGUGAAAAACUCCGGUGGUAUAAGAUGGACCCGCGUUGGAUUAGCUAGUUGGUGAGGUAACGGCCCACCAAGGCGACGAUCCAUAGCCGACCUGAGAGGGUGACCGGCCACAUUGGGACUGAGACACGGCCCAAACUCCUACGGGAGGCAGCAGUGGGGAAUAUUGCACAAUGGGCGAAAGCCUGAUGCAGCGACGCCGCGUGAGCGAAGAAGUAUUUCGGUAUGUAAAGCUCUAUCAGCAGGGAAGAUAAUGACGGUACCUGACUAAGAAGCACCGGCUAAAUACGUG
rnacentral:rRNA from 1 species